rnacentral:lncRNA from 1 species
AGCCAGAAUGUCAGAAUCUUGGGCAUUGUCUAUGAGAUUGCUAGCCACAAGCUUUUCUUGUGGGGGCGGCAACUUCACAGGAGCUGGGGGGUCCAGGAGACAUGAUUGAACUCCUACCAUCCCAUGUAGGUGGAAAUUACCACCCAUAGAGUCCCACAGGGCUCCAGACCUCAGCUCGACUAGAGACCAGACUGUCUGUGUAUCGCCCACUGCCCCACACCUGAACUCCUGAUGUCUGUUUUUCUUCUGGAUCAAGUCAGGACACAGACAUCAGAGACUAAUACAAUCAUUGAAUCAUGGUUCUGUUCCAAAUUUUUAAAAGAAAGUUUUUACAUCCCACAGUCAAGAACACUGACUCAUAAUAGUUCCUGUGUGAAAGAAUUGCAUGGACAAAAAUGGAGAAAAGCCCGGGGUAAGGAGAUCCAGUGACAGGCCCAAAUUGGGAUUCAGCUCAUGAGGAGGCCCCAAGGCCUAACACUAUUACCAAAGCUAUGGUGUGCUCACAAAAGGGGACUAUCAUGACUGUCCUCCGAAACAACCAACAAGCAAUUGAAAGAGUCAGACACAGAGAUUUACACCCAACCAUUGGACAGAAGCUGCUAACCCCUGUGGUUGAAUUAGGGAAAAGCUGGAAGAAGCUGAGGAAGAUCAUGACUCUAUAGGAAGACCAGCAGUCUCAACUAAUCUGGACUUCCAGAGAUCUCUCAGACACUGAGCCACCAAACAGGCAGCAUACACCAGCUAAUGUGAGGCCUUCAACACAUAUACAGCAGAGGACUGCUGGGUCUGUACUCAAUCAGAAAAGACUAACCAAAUUCUCAAGAGAUUGGAGUCUUGCAGGGAAUGGGAAGGUCUGGGUGUAGGGGUGGUGUGGACUUUAGGGACAGCCUCAUGGAGAUAGUGUGGGGGGAAGAUAGGAGGUAUGGGAUGUUGAACAGUCAGAGGGUGGAGCAGGA